CCUGACUGUGCAAAGGUAGCAUAAUAAUUUGCCUUUUAAUUAAAGGAUGGAAUGAAUGGUUUGAUGCAGAUGUAACUGUCUUACAUAUAUUUACUAAAAGUUGAUUUUUAGGUUAAAAAGCCUAAGUAAAAUUAAGGGACGAGAAGACCCUAUUAAGCUUGAGUGGAGGUAUUAACUGAUUUAUGUUAAAAAUAUGAUUUUAAUAAUAAGACUUUAGUUGGGGCGACUUGGGAGCAUAAAAAACCUCCUUCUUAAAAAAGAAAGUAAUUUUUGAUCCAAAGGAUUUUGAAUUAAAAAUAAGUUACUAUAGGGAUAACAGCGUAAUUUUAUUUUAGAGCUCUAAUCGAAAAUAAAGUUUGCGACCUCGAUGUUGGAUUAAGAAGUAGUAAAGGUUGUAGAAGCUUUUGCAAUUAGUCUGUUCGACUAUUAAUAUCUUACAUGAUCUGAGUUCAAACCGGA
rnacentral:rRNA from 1 species